rnacentral:lncRNA from 1 species
GAAAAAUGACUAAAUUUGAUUUCCAAUCCUUGACUCCUAUACAGUAUUUGGUAUGUUGGUGGUAUCAAAAAUAAAAUCUCUGUUAAGAACUGGAUAGAUACUUCUUUUCCCAAAAAAUUCACUGUAAUCAGUGCUGUUUCAAAACAAUUGAUGAUUGCCUUUCUACAUUUUUAUCCCCUUAAGGAGUAUCCAACAGAAUAUGAGAUAGAAGAGCCAGAGGCAUGCCAUUCCUUCAGUAAAUGGGAGCAGCUGUGAGGCCCAGACCAGCAUGGCUGUAUGCUGAGCCCAGCAAGUGCUAUGCCCCAAACCCACAGGCUCCUGAACUCACACCCAAGCCAAAGUCCCACACAGAAAAGAACUGCACAGGUGCACAACCUUCAGACAGAUGCCCAGCAUACCAUUGGCCACAACCGAUCACAUGCCUGGCAAAGAGCUACAUAGAAGACAAACCAGUGACAUGGAAGGAGAAAACCACACAGGUACACAAUUCCAUCUCCUGGGCUUCUCAGAUGAUCCUGAACUCAAGACUUUUCUCUUUGGACAGUUUGUACCUACCAGCAGUCAUUAUCCAAACCAUUAUCUGACUCCCACCUCCUCACCCCCAUGUACUUCCUCUCCAACCUGUCCUUUGUGGACAUCUUUUUCACCUUCACCACAGUACCAAAGACGCUGUUGAACAUCCAGGCACACAAUAAAGUUUUUACCUACACUGAGUGUUGCACUCAGGUGUAAUUUUCAAUGAUUUUUGUGGGAACGGAUAGUUUCCUACUGACAGUGAUGGCCUAUGACUGUUUGUUGCCCUUGACUACUACUGGUAAAUAAAAGACAGAGCUGGACUGAGAUGGCCUUCUCUCUGGGGUCAAGGGCCUCUCCGCUGGCCACUGUGCAAAGAUCCUUCUGUAACAUGCCUCCACUGGGCCCAAAGUACCAUUACAAGAUGCACUUUUUCAUUGCUAUCAUAUUCUUAUGUCUUAAAGCCAUGUUUUAUAUAUAUAUAAAACCAUUCAUACCUACACUGAGUGUUGCACUCAGGUGUAAUUUUCAAUGAUUUUUGUGGGAACGGAUAGUUUCCUACUGACAGUGAUGGCCUAUGACUGUUUGUUGCCAUCUGUCAUCCCCUGAAAUACAUGAUCAUCAUGACCCCUUGGGUAUGUGUACUGCUGGUUCUGGUGUCCUUGAUCAUUGUAUGUUUCUCCCUGCUUCAUAUUCUCCUGCUUAUGCAAUUGACCUUCUCUACUGGCACUGAAAUUCCACGUUUCUUCUAUGAUCUGGCUCUGCUUCUCAAAGUAGCCACCUUUGAUAUUCUUGUCAAGGUCAGUAUUGUCCUAUUUUAUGUGUCAACUAUCCUGCUGGUUGCAUUUCCCAUUACCAGGAUCCUCUUAUCUUACUCUGAUUGUCUCAUUCUUAGUGGGUAUGUCCUCCACUGCAAGCAAGUAUAAAGCGUUUUCCAUCUGUGGGUCUCACUUCUGUGUGGUCUCUUUGUUCUAUAGAACAGAACUUGAGUUAUAUCUCAAUUCUGCUGGGGCCCCUUCUUUCCAUGAAAGCUCUGUUGCCUCUGCUAUGUAGACUGUUGCAAACCCCAUGGUUAACAAUUUCAUCCACAGUCUCAGGAACAAGGAAGUUGAGAGAAUCCUGGGGAAACACCUCAGCAGAGCAGCCUCUGGGCCUUGAUGGGAACCACUUCCCCAAAAGUGGUCAUUCUGUGCACCCAUGCAAUGCAGUGAAUUUACACAUAUUAUAUGCUAAUUUUUCUGCUAUAUAUAAUAAUUGAAAUAUAAAUUAUAUUUAUAAUAUCUUAUAUUUCCAAAGCAUUUGUAACACUGUCAUUGUAUAGUUUUUUAUUUGUUUCUCCUAAAGAGUUCUCUCAGUACUUAAUA